GCAACGCGCAGAACCUUACCACCUUUUGACAUGCCUGGACCACGUGAGAGAUCACGCUUUCCCUUCGGGGACCAGGACACAGGUGCUGCAUGGCGUCGUCAGCUCGUGUCGUGAGAUGUUGGGUUAAGUCCCGCAACGAGCGCAACCCUCGCCAUUAGUUGCCAUCAUUUAGUUGGGAACUCUAAUGGGACUGCCGGUGCUAAGCCGGAGGAAGGUGGGGAUGACGUCAAGUCCUCAUGGCCCUUACAGGGUGGGCUACACACGUGCUACAAUGGCGACUACAGAGGGUUAAUCCUUAAAAGUCGUCUCAGUUCGGAUUGUCCUCUGCAACUCGAGGGCAUGAAGUUGGAAUCGCUAGUAAUCGCGGAUCAGCAUGCCGCGGUGAAUACGUUCCCGGGCCUUGUACACACCGCCCGUCACACCAUGGGAGUUGGUUCUACCCGAAGGCGAUGCGCUAACCCGCAAGGGAGGCAGUCGACCACGGUAGGGUCAGCGACUGGGGUGAAGUCGUAACAAGGUAGC
rnacentral:rRNA from 1 species